GCUUGUCUAGCUCAGUUGGCAGAGCGCAAGGCUCUUAACCUUAAGGUUGUGGGUUCGAGCCUCACAGUGAACA
rnacentral:tRNA from 1 species